AGCUAGGAAAAAAAAACAAAACACAAAAUAUAACAGCACCUGGUUAUAUAACACAUAAUUUGAAAAUGGCUCACUCUUGUCUAUUUCAAUUUCAGCAAACAUUAUGGAAUGUCCAUUAUGUCUGAGGCUAUGGAGGAUGAUGGGAAAGUGCCUAAUAUCUAGAGUGGAAAGAGGCAUGGACCCCCAAACCCCAAAAUCUAAAACAUACAAUUUUAAGUGGCAAAAAUGAAACCUAAGCAGAGUGUUAUGGGAAAGGCUUCAUAAUGGUAGUAACUGUCUCCUGAGCCUUAAAAGAUAGGGGUAGGGCUAGAGAGUAUUCUAUGCUGGAAUACAUGUACCAUGUACCAGAGAUACGAUUAUGGCUGGCAUGUAAAUUAUCACAGGCUUCUAAAAGGGACAAAUUAGAGUUUGGGCUUUUGUAGGAAAUGUGAUCCAGUGAAGGUGCAGAAGAAUGAAAUGAGGCAGUUAAGUGGCAGCAGUGUGUACAAUACGUUUGCGAGAUGAGGGAUACUAGAUAGGAAGUGGUUUGAAGCAUCUGGGUGGGAAAUGAUCAGGUUCUGAAUUAGAGCAGUGGAGGUGAAAAGUGGGUAGACUGGAGAGAUGCUAGAGAGGUUAACAUGCAGGGGAAACCAGGAGAACUGUCCUUUGCUCAUCACGAACCUCUAGACCUGUGCUGUCCAGUACGACAGCCAGCCAACAUAUUAUUGAGCACUUAAAAUGUGGCUCAUCCAAAUCAAGAUGUGCUGUAAAUAUAAGAUACACAAUUGAUUUCUAAGACUUAGUAUAAAAAAAUAAAAUGUAAAAAUAUCUUAAUUGCUACAGAUUACAUAUAGAAAUGAUAUUUUGGAUAUACUGGGUUAUAUUAAUUAUUUAAAUGAUUUUUUUCGUUUUAAAUGUGGUCAUCAGGAAACAGAAUUGCAUAUGCUUUUGCAUUACUGGAGAGUGCUGCUCUAGAAGAAACCCACAGGGAAGAAGCCCAGAAGACAGGGAGUUUUGUCAUGAACACUUUGAGCCCUUCUCUCUACUCCUUUAUUCCUAUUCGAGGAAGUCAAGGAGGUAAAAUCACCAGAAAGGCCUGCAAUAGGGAAGUGCAUGCAGUUAACAGCUUCACGAGCUGCGGCAGGGAAGGUAUGUGCAAUUUUGGCUAGGAGGGCAGGGCCUCCCUACUUUUGCAUUCUAUGCUUUUUAGUUAUCAAGUAGAAUAAUUCCGUCAACACCACUUGUUUUUUUCCUUUAUAACAUUUUGGCCACGGUCCAAGGCUAAGUUUUAAACUGCCCCUGACCUAGUAAAAUAAUAAUAUAUAAGAACAACUGCUGCUGCUGCAACUCAGCUUAUUCCCUGUGGACACAGACAUGUGUGAUGCCUUGGCUUUUGGGUGUCAGCUCUAGGUACUGGGAGUUAGUACUGGAAUAGCUGUGUGCAUAGGCAGAUUCCACUCCUCUGGAAGCACAAUGAACGCUUAAUGGAGAUUUCUCCAAAGAAGUUUAAGAUUUGCCUCCUGAUAAACCUGAGGUCAAGAUUCUUUUCAUUGUAUGUUUUAUCCAUCCACAUGCCACUACGACUUUACUACCUACCAAUUGGUAGGAGCUGUGUGGGUUGUGUCUAGACCAUGACACAACUCAGGUUGAGACUGGGCAGAAUGAGACAUUGAAGGAGGAAAGAUUUGAAGUUCUAAUUUCUUUAGAACUUACGUUCUUUAUGGAAAUAAUUGGGAAGAAGUUCAGGUUGCUCAUCUUAGGUAUUUUCUAUUGCUGCCAUUCACUUGGUGUUUUUUUUUUUUUGUUUUUGUGUGGUGCUCACUGUACAACCUCCUCUGACAAAGUAUUUGGCUAUGAGUGGAGGUGGUAAGUAGAACAGGGAAUGAAUUUCAGCCUUGGGAGAAACUUAACUUGAAGCUACAGUGAUGAAUAUCCUACCCUACCAUUUGAUUAUCUGCAGGUGCCAGGGUGACACAAAAAGUAUAGUGGAAGGUCUCAGGGGAGUGGACUCGUGGAAGUGGUGUUGGCCUGUCUUGACAUAGUGAUAGUUGUCUCCUCAAGGGGCACAGUCACACCAAUAAAAGGAAAACAUACUGGUGUGGAUUGGUAGAUCUGUGUUUGUUUCCCCACUUUAUAUUUCUAUAGGGAGGGGGAUGACUGUGUAAGUAGGAGGAGAACAUUAAAAUAAUCACUGCUUGUUACCUCCUUGCUUCUUGUGUGCCCUCUACAAGGAAGGACUGGCUAACUCUGAAUGUGACAUUCUCUGGGUCACAUUACCAGAGAAUGUGUCUCUUCUUUUCUCACUCAACAUGUUCUAUGCACAUUAAAGAAUGAAUGUGCAUAGAACAUGUUGAGUGAGAAAAGAAGAGAGCCAUGGUACAACCUUAGGGGAAUACCAACUCUUAAGAGGCAGAUGAAUGAAGAGAAGCCAAUGGAAAAGGGUCACUGAGAAAGAAGAAUCAGGAGCAGGAGAUGUUUUGAAAGCUGACAAGAGAGAAUUUAAGGAAGUAGUCGACCUUGGAAAUGCUAUAAAAGGAUUGAGAAUCAAUUGUCUUUAGCAAUUUGGCAGUUUACAGAGAACUGAACUGAUGAAAAGAAGGCAAGAGCCAUUAAUACAGAGUUUUUGAAGGAGCUUGGUUGGUGAAUGUUUGGUAUAUCGUUGGUGUUCAAUAAAUAUUUGUAGAAUGAAUGAAAGGAAAGGGAAGUGGAAUCUCGGAGAAGCGGCAGCUUCAAUGAAGGUAGAUUUUUUAACAGUUUGUAAACUGUGGAAAAGGGCCAGUGGGGAAGGAGUAAUCUA